GACGAACGCUGGCGGCGUGCUUAACACAUGCAAGUCGAACGGAAAGGCCCUGCUUUUGUGGGGUUCUCGAGUGGCGAACGCGUGAGUAACACGUGAGUAACCUGCCCUUGACUUUGGGAUAACUUCAUGAAACUGGGGCUAAUACCGGAUAGGAGCUCCUGCUGCAUGGUGGGGGUUGGAAAUUUUCGGCGGUUGGGGAUGGACUCGCGCCUUAUCAGCUUGUUGGUGGGGUAGUGGCUUACCAAGGCUUUGACGGGUAGCCGGCCUGAGCGGGUGACCGGCCACAUUGGGACUGUGAGACGGCCCAGACUCCAACGGGAGGCAGCGGUGGGGAAUAUUGCACAAUGGGCGGAAGCCAGAUGCAGCAACGCCGCGUGCGGGAUGACGGCCUUCGGGUUGUAAACCGCUUUCGCCUGUGACGAAGCGUGAGUGACGGUAAUGGGUAAAGAAGCACCGGCUAACUACGUG
rnacentral:rRNA from 1 species